AACCUGCCCAAGAGAUCGGGAUAACACCUGGAAACAGAUGCUAAUACCGGAUAACAACAGAUGAUGCCUAUCAACUGUUUAAAAGAUGGUUCUGCUAUCACUCUUGGAUGGACCUGCGGUGCAUUAGCUAGUUGGUAGGGUAACGGCCUACCAAGGCGAUGAUGCAUAGCCGAGUUGAGAGACUGAUCGGCCACAUUGGGACUGAGACACGGACCCAAACUCCGUACGGGAGGCAGCAGUA
rnacentral:rRNA from 1 species